rnacentral:rRNA from 1 species
CUUUGAGAAUGUCAAAGCUAAUACUUGACGGGUAACCCUUCAGUCGAGUGUAUUCCUCCGGGAGUAUAAUCUACUGAGGAGGGGAGGACCCCCAAGGUCCUUUCAAUAUAUUACCACUUCUUUGUGAAUAAGGGUGGAUUAUAUGCCAAGAGAAUUGUAGAAAUCGAGAGAUUUUCACAAGUCAUCAUUAAGAAUAUCUGACCUAUCAACUGGUUGUUGGUAAGGUAGUGGCUUACCAAGGUGAUAACGGGUAACGAGGAAUAAGGGUUCGACAUCGGAGAGGGAGCUUUAGAAAUGGCUACCACUUCUAAGGAAGGCAGCAGGCGCGAAAAUUACCCAAUCUUAACAACUGAAGGAGGUAG